rnacentral:rRNA from 1 species
UACGGGGGGAGCAAGCGUUGUUCGGAUUUACUGGGCGUAAAGGGCGCGUAGGCGGUCACUACAAGUCAGUUGUGAAAUCUCUGGGCUUAACUCAGAACGGUCAACUGAUACUGUCGGACUAGAGUGCAGAAGGGGCAACUGGAAUUCUCGGUGUAGCGGUGAAAUGCGUAGAUAUCGAGAGGAACACCUGCGGCGAAGGCGGGUUGCUGGGCUGACACUGACGCUGAGGCGCGAAAGCUAGGGGGAGCAAACAGG